rnacentral:ncRNA from 1 species
GGUCCGCGGGCGGGAGCCCGCGGCGCAAGAGGGAACCCGGUGCGAAUCCGGGGCUGCCCCGCAACGGUGAUCACCCCGGUGAGAGCCCGAUACCUGCC